rnacentral:rRNA from 1 species
GAUGAACGCUGGCGGCGUGCCUAACACAUGCAAGUCGAACGGAAAGACGAGGAGCUUGCUCCUUUGACGUUAGCGGCGGGCGGGUGAGUAACGCGUGGAUCACCUACUUAUAUUUCGGGGAUCAUUACGGAAAACCGGAUAUAAUACCAGAUAAUAUAUUGAACCGCAGGGUGCAAUGGUGAAUGUCGGCUUUGGUGUCUGUAAUAGCUGCUUCCGCGCUGCGUUAGCGGGUUGGUAAGGUACCGGCCUACCAAGGAUACGAUGCGUAGCCGAGCGGAGAGGGGGAUCAGCCACACUGGAACUGAGACACGGUCCAGACUCCGACGGGAGGCAGAAGUGGGGAAUCUUGGGCAAUGGGCGAAAGCCUGACGGAGCAACGCCGCGUGGGUGAAGAAGGCCUUCGGGUUGUAAAACCCUGUUAUGGGAGAAAAACGAAUGUGUAUGUAACCACGCACGUCUGACGGUAACCUAUCAAAAAGCAACGGCUAACUACGUG